rnacentral:sRNA from 1 species
AAAAGAAGCAAGGUCCGUGAAGGACGGAA